rnacentral:misc_RNA from 1 species
CAACCCUCAAGCUCUCUUGCUUGGUGUUGGGGCUUCUGCGGCUUCGGCCGCAGGCCCUGAAAAACAGUGGCGGGCUCGCUAUAACUCCGAGCGUAGUAAUCUCUCUCGCUUUGGAAGAGUAGCGGUUCCCGGCCGUUAAACCCCCCAAUUUCUGAAA